rnacentral:rRNA from 1 species
UACAGAGGGUGCGAGCGUUGUCCGGAAUCACUGGGCGUAAAGGGCGCGUAGGUGGUGGCUUAAGCGUGCGGUGAAAGCUCGGGGCUCAACUCCGAGUCGGCCGUGCGAACUGGGCUCACUGGAGCAUAGUAGAGGCAGGUGGAAUUUCGGGUGUAGCGGUGGAAUGCGUAGAGAUCCGGAAGAACACCGGUGGCGAAGGCGGCCUGCUGGGCUAUGGGCUGACACUGAGGCGCGACAGCGUGGGGAGCAAACAGG